AGGGAAAGAAACCAACAGGGAUUGCCCUAGUAACGGCGAGUGAAGCGGCAACAGCUCAAAUUUGAAAUCUGGCGCAAGCCCGAGUUGUAAUUUGUAGAGGAUGCUUCUGGCCAGCGGCCGUUCUAAGUUCCUUGGAACAGGACGUCAUAGAGGGUGAGAAUCCCGUAUGUGACCGGCGCGCAGCCUUUACGUAGCUCCUUCGACGAGUCGAGUUGUUUGGGAAUGCAGCUCUAAAUGGGAGGUAAAUUCCUUCUAAAGCUAAAUACCGGCCAGAGACCGAUAGCGCACAAGUAGAGUGAUCGAAAGAUGAAAAGCACUUUGGAAAGAGAGUUAAAAAGCACGUGAAAUUGUUGAAAGGGAAGCGCUUGCAACCAGACUUCGUAGCGAUGUUCCGCUGGUCUUCUGACCGGUCUACUCAUCGUCGCCAGGCCAACAUCGCCUGGGCCCGCUGGAUAAGACCUAAGGAAUGUAGCUUCCCUCGGAAGUGUUAUAGCCUGUGGUGAUGCAGCGUGGCUCGGGCGAGGUCCGCGCUUCGGCAAGGAUGUGGGCGUAAUGGUUGUGAGCGGCCCGUCUUGAAACACGGACCAAGGAGUCUAACAUCUAUGCGAGUGUUCGGGUGUCAAACCCCUACGCGUAAUGAAAGUGAACGGAGGUGGGAAGCGCAAGCUGCACCAUCGACCGAUCCUGAUGUCCUCGGAUGGAUUUGAGUAAGAGCAUAGCUGUUGGGACCCGAAAGAUGGUGAACUAUGCCUGAAUAGGGUGAAGCCAGAGGAAACUCUGGUGGAGGCUCGCAGCGGUUCUGACGUGCAAAUCGAUCGUCAAAUUUGGGUAUAGGGGCGAAAGACUAAUCGAACCAU
rnacentral:rRNA from 1 species